CUCCCUCGCUACAUCUUCCUUGCCGACUCAUCUUUCUACCGACUGCUUUCUGCCGUCUCUCUCGCCGACUUUCUCACCGUCUCGCCGACUUUCUCCCCGACUCUUCUUCUUGUAUCUCGACGGCAUCGUGUAUCUGACCAACCUUGCUGCUCGUAUCUCGCGCGCCGACUCUACUGCUCUCUCUCAAAAGAAAAAUGAACAGGAGAAUUGAUAUUUAACCUCAUCAAUUUCAAGUUAAUUCCAGUGCUGAAUUGCUCAAACUGUAUAAAGUAAAAGUAGAAGGUGCCAAGAAUAUGAAGAAAAACAAAGAAUCUACUUCAAAGCAAGAGCCAAGGAAAAAUUCUACGGCUGGAAGUGCAGUCCAAGAAGCUAGAAAUACUCAAAUACAACAUCAAAUGAAAGACCAAAGGAAGCAGCCAUUGACCACUACAAGUGCAAUUCAAGAAGGUGCCAAAAAUAUGAAGAGAAACAAAGAAUCUACUUCAAAUCAAGAGCCAAGGAAAAAUUCUACUGUUGCAAGUGUAGUCCAAGAAGCUAGAAAUACUCAAAUACAACAUCAAAAGAAAGACCAAAGCAAGCAGCCAUUAAGCACUACAAGUGCAGUUCAAUAAGUUAGAAUGCAACAAGAAAAGUUAGAAGUAAGAUCUACUUUGAUGCAACAUGGAGAGCAAGAACAGAGGAAGAAGCUAUUAGCCAUUGGAAGUGCAAUCCAAGUAGGAAGAUCUACUCAAACACGCCACAAAAAGCAAGACCAGAUGAGGCAAUCCUUAGCCACUGGAAGUGAAGUCGAAGUUGGAGGAUCUACUUACAUUCCAAGUCAAAAAGACCUUGAUCAGUAAUGAUAGAUGACAAAUGAUUUUAUAUUUUGUGUGCAAAGAUUUAAGUUUAAGGUAGAGAAAUAUUAAGACAAAUGUGGAUGAAGAUGAUGCAUACUUUGUUAAUUAGUAUAUUUGUUUGAGUAUUAUAAUAUUUUGUUUUGGAUAACAAUGUAAUUAAUUUUCUUCAAUAUGUAUGUGGAUGAUUAAUAUA